GUGUCAGCCGCCGCGGUAAGACGGAGGGUGCAAGCGUUAAUCGGAUUUAUUGGGCGUAAAGGGCGCGUAGGCGGGAAUAUAAGUCAGAUGUGAAAUCCCGGGGCUUAACUCCGGAACGGCAUUUGAAACUAUAUUCCUUGAGGGUAGAAGGAGAGAACGGAAUUCCACGUGUAGCGGUGAAAUGCGUAGAUAUGUGGAAGAACACCGGUGGCGAAGGCGGUUCUCUAUUUUAUUCCUGACGCUGAGGCGCGAAAGCAAGGGGAUCAAACAGGAUUAGAUACCCUGGUAGUCCUUGCCGUAAACGAUGCAUACUAGGCGUAGUGGGUCUCAACCCCCACUUUGUCGUAGCUAACGCGUUAAGUAUGCCGCCUGGGGAGUACGCUCGCAAGGGUGAA
rnacentral:rRNA from 1 species